rnacentral:misc_RNA from 1 species
UUCUAAUUUACAUUUUAAUAUCAAAUGUUUUCUGUUGUUAUUUAUUCGAAAUAAGAAUACAAAAAAAUAAUAUAUAUAAGAUAAUUUAGAAAAGUUAUCUAAAAUUAUUUUAUAAUUUAAAAUAAUUAAAAUAUUUUUUAAUGUAUUUAUGUGUAUAUAUUUGUCAAUUGUAAAUAUGAUAUUUAGUAGAAUGCACUUGAAAAUUUUAAUUAAUAUUUAUAAUAAUAAAUUUAUUUUAAAAUAUAAUACAACAUCGAAGAUUUUAAAAUUGUUUCUUACACAAAAUCUACGUGAUAUUUCUACAUUUUAUGAAAAUAAUGUUUUUGAAGAACAAUUAAAAGAAGUUUUUAAAUUUAAAAAUAGUAAUGUUAGUAAUUGGAUUAUUGAGAAUAAAGCUCGUAUUUUAUGUAAUGCAUAUCAAGAAAGUAACAAAAAAGAUAAGGAACAAAUUCUACGUAUUUUAGCAUUUAGAUAUGCUAUUGAACAUACUGUUGUAUGUAAUAUAGCAGAAAAAUAUGUAUCUACAGAGUCUGAUAAUAGAAGACGUAUGAUUUCUUAUGAACGAAAUUUAAGAAAUGUUUUAACACCAGAUUAUCAAUGGUUGUUUAUUAUGAUUGGAAGACUUGAAAAUGGUGUGAAAUUUCUUGUCGAUUUAAGAACAGAUAUAUUAGAAUUAAUAUUAAAAAUUAAAGAUACAGAUGAAAGUAUUGCAAUACAGCAAUUGAAUAUUACCCUACGAGAUUUAUUAUUACUUUGGUUUUCAGUAGGAUUCUUAUACUUAGAAAGAAUUACAUGGCAAACUUCAUGUGAUAUUUUACAAAAGAUUUCAGAUUAUGAAACAAUACAUCCUAUAAAAAAUUGGUUAGAUUUAAAACAAAGAGUUGGACCAUAUAGAAGAUGUUACAUUUUCACUCAUUUAUCUAUGCCACGAGAACCUCUUGUUGUAUUACAUACAGCAUUAUGUGAUAUUAUACCAGAUAGUAUAAAAGAUAUUGAUGAAGCAAAAGUCAGAAUUCUUGGUAAUCUAAAAAAAGAGAUAACAUUUUUAGAAGAAGAUAAAAGUAAAAUAAAAACUGCAAUAUUUUAUUCAAUAACUUCCACACAAAAAGGAUUACAAGGUAUUGAACUUGGUAAUUAUUUAAUAAAAGAAGUGGCAAAAGAAGUGAUAUCAGAAUUUCCUAUGAUUCAUGAAUUAUCUUCAUUAUCACCAAUACCUAAUUUUAGAAUAUGGUUUUUAGAAAAAAUAAAACAAGAUAUAUGUAAUAUUUUCACAAAUGAAGAAUGUAAUUCUAUACAAGAAAUUUUAAAAGAAAAAGAUAUAAUUUUUGGUUUAAAAAAAAUUUUAAAUAAUUCAUUAUGGACUCAAGAUAUUAAAAUAAGCGAAAUUUUAAAAAAACCAUUACUUCGAGCAUGUGCUUGGUAUUUAUAUAAAGAAAAAAGACGAAAUUAUGCUUUAGAUAGUCAAACUUUCAUCUUCGUAAUGGAGCUGUUAUGUGGAGAAUAAAUUGGUUGGCUGAUCCUUCACCACGUGGUGUUGGAAACAGUUGUGGAAUUAUGGUAAACUAUAGGGCCAAGUCCAACAGAUAUGUUUUUAUCUCCAGAAACACUUCCACCUGGUGAUGGCCCUUCUCUAUUUUGUGUUCCUGGUAAUGCUGGAAAAUCCUCAGAACUCAUUGUAAACUCACUUGAUUCGGAU